UUUCAUCGGACUUGAAUCCAGUAUUGGAAAUUAAAAUGAGAAGAUAUAUAUUUUAUAUAAUUUUUAUUUUGGCUAUUCUGCGAAAUGGAACCUCAUUAGCAACUCCCCCUAAUGAAAUUGAGACUUGUAUAUUGAAUCGGGAACUAGAACAACAAUGCGGAUUGUAUACAUAUAAGGCUCUCAAGCCAUUGCUAGACUAUAUUGGACAAAUUAAGGAUGAAUUAAUGAAAAGUGAAUUAAGGGAAAAAGAAAUACUGGAUUGAAAAGAGAAAUUGGUUCAACAUGAAGCCAAUGAAGCUGUCAUCAAAGAAUUGAGAUCUCAGAACAAAAAUCUUCAAGAUUUUCAACAAACUUUUACGCUUAGCCUUCUUUCAAUUUCGAAAACAACAGAGAAUUGUGAUAAAUUUAAAAUGGACUUAGUUGAUAAUACGCAAAAACUAAUUAGUUGCCAAAAUGAGAUAAUGACACUAAAUUCCACUCUCAUUAAGAAGGAUUCUGAAAUUAUAAAUCUGAGUGUGAAAGCUAAAAAUGCAACUGACGAGCUGAAAACAACUCAACAGAAAUUAGAAGAGACUCAGGAUAAGUUAUUAUCUUGCAAAAUAACACAGAAUAAUACAGAACCGUACGAAGAUCAUUUAAAAUCACUUAGCUCCACUCUCAUUAAGAGGGAUUUGGAAAUUAAAAGUCUCAAUGACAAGAUUAUCAGCAAUACACAACUUUGCUUAGAAGAGUACCGGGCUUUACUUAUUAACUGCUCAGCAGAAAAAACAAAAUUAAAAACUGAAUGUUACAACUCUCAAUUUGGAGGUUAAUAAUGAAACUGACAACAUAAUAAAAAUUUAAUUUCGUAA